rnacentral:rRNA from 1 species
AGCUCGCGAGAGUAAGCUAAUCUCUUAAAGCCGUUCUCAGUUCGGACUGUAGGCUGCAACUCGCCUACACGAAGUCGGAAUCGCUAGUAAUCGCGGAUCAGCAUGCCGCGGUGAAUACGUUCCCGGGCCUUGUACACACCGCCCGUCACACCAUGGGAGUUGGGAAUACCCGAAGCCUGUGAGCUAACGUUAAGAAGCAGCAGUCGAAGGUAGAAUCAAUGAUUGGGGUGAAGUCGUAACAAGGUAUC